rnacentral:rRNA from 1 species
CAGCAGCCGCGGUAAUACGGAGGGAGCUAGCGUUGUUCGGAAUUACUGGGCGUAAAGCGCACGUAGGCGGCUUUGUAAGUUAGAGGUGAAAGCCUGGAGCUCAACUCCAGAACUGCCUUUAAGACUGCAUCGCUUGAAUCCAGGAGAGGUGAGUGGAAUUCCGAGUGUAGAGGUGAAAUUCGUAGAUAUUCGGAAGAACACCAGUGGCGAAGGCGGCUCACUGGACUGGUAUUGACGCUGAGGUGCGAAAGCGUGGGGAGCAAACAGGAUUAGAUACCCCAGUAGUCCCUGUCUCUUAUAC